CCUCUAUAUGUUUUUCAUAAUUCUGAUUUUAUGUUGUUAACCCUAACACUCGGGUAAAACAUUGAAAGUGAAUCUAUGGCUGUCCUCUGGGUAUCAGAUAUGAAGGUACCCUUGAAAUCUACAUCUCAUUGAGUUUAUAAUAAAUGAUUAUCAUUAAUGCUGCCAAUUUUGUUGCUAUGAGGUUCCUCAUUUCAUUUCUUUCUUUUACUUUUGAUUGCUUAGUAUUAUCAUCUUCGUGAUUGACAUGAAUUAUUAUAAUUCUCUGUCAAAUCUACAGGCCCUAGUUUGAGCAGCAUACCUAGAGAGAGUGAGCUCUACAAAGCAAAACAAAGUGAAGCUUUGCUGAAAUAUGAGAUGUAUGUACAUUAUUUUAUCAUUCUUUUGCCUUCGUCUGAAAAGUGAUUGCCUAUGCUGCAAUUUCAAUGCUUACUCUGAUAAGUUGCUUUCAGCUUGGUAGGUUUGGAGAAACAGCUUAUACCUCUCUUUGGAAAACACGUCAACUGAUCAUCGUAAUUUUACACACCUCAUAUUGUGAGAGAUGAAAAUCUGCACAAGAUUUUGAUGUUGUUUUUCUGGCUGAGAGAUGUUCAAAAUUAUGUAAUGUGGUAUUGCUGCUGGUAGCUGUGUAAAUUCGCUCUCUUUCUCGGCUGAGUAGUUCGUUGUCAGUGUUAAUAGGAAUCGAACAAGUUUUCAAUGAGCCUUAUUCCGUAUGUGUAUUUCUUCGUUAGUUUAUUUGCAUUCUGUUCUAUGUGGAGGAAAGAUAAGUUAAUACUGCAAUAUAGCUAUGUAGAUACUGCUUCUUAUGCAGGCCGCCGUGGGGUAGGUAGCUCAGGACGAGGUGGUGGAGGGAUGGCAGUCAUUUUAAAUGCAUUAAGAUAACUUUAUUUCCAAAUUGAAUUGAGUGACCACAAAAAUAAUCAGCACGGUUGUGAGAUUCUCUAAAAAUAAACAUUACCACUUUGUGAAAAAUGCAGGGAUUUAUAUGUUAUAAUCUCAACAAAUUAUAGGUAAACAUUGCAAUAGCUAGAAGAAACGUUGAAGCUACCUUGUGACUUUUGUUGUGGGAC
rnacentral:sRNA from 1 species